CUUCCUUGGAUGCAAGGGUCUGUGUGUUGUUUCCAGGAGGGUCAGGGUCUUCAUGUGUCUUAUCUCCUGUGUGUGUUGUUUCCCGAGUUACUGCACAGGUAUUAUUUCCUAGGAGGUGGUGGUGUCAUGUGUGUAGUUUACUGGGAGGUCACAAUCUGUAUGUUGUUUUUUUUCUGGGAGGUCGUGGCCCACGGGUAUCGCUUCAUGGGAGAGCAGGGUGUACCGGUUUUUAGUUUCCUUGGUGACUCAGGUCUGCAUGUGUGUUGUUUCCUGGUGUGCCAGGGUCUGGUGUGUGUGGUUUCUUGGGAGGUCGGGGUGUCCAUGUGUUCUAUUUCCUGGGAGGCCAGAAUCCGUGUGUGUUGAUUCCUAGGAAGGUAGGGUCUUCAUGUGUUGUUUCCUGGGAGGCCAGUGGUGUGUGUGUGUGCUCUUACCUGGGCGGUAAGCAGAUGCCUGUGUUUCAUUUCUCUCAGGCCAGAUUCUGUUUGUGCUGUUUCCUGUGACACCCGGUUCUGUGCUUGGGUCUGCAUGUUUCUUGUUUCCUGGGAGUUCGGGGUUUUUGUGUUGCUUCCUGAAGUGUCAGUGUCUGUGCAUGCAUUGGUUCCCGGGGAUGUGUUUUGUUUCCAGAGAACCCAGGCUUGUCUAGGUCCUAGACAGCAUCUACAGGUGUUUUGAACCUGAGAGGCCUAAAUCUGUUUAUAUUGUUUCCUGCAACACCAGGAACUAUAACUCUGUUUGUUUGUUUGUUUUUUCCUUGAGGCCAGAGUCUGCCUGUGUUUUAUUCCUGCGAGGUGAGGGUCUCUGUAUAUUGUUUUCUGGGAUCGGCUCAGGUUUUGCUUCCUAGGAGCCUGAUUGGUAUGUGCACUGUUUCCUUGGAUGCCAAGGUCUCCGUGUUUAUUUG
rnacentral:lncRNA from 1 species